GAAGGNGGCCCCCUGGACAAAGACUGACGCUCAGGUGCGAAAGCGUGGGGAGCAAACAGGAUUAGAUACCNUGGUAGUCCACGCUGUAAACGAUGUCGACUUGGAGGUUGUGCCCUUGAGGCGUGGCUUCCGGAGCUAACGCGUUAAGUCGACCGCCUGGGGAGUACGGCCGCAAGGUUAAAACUCAAAUGAAUUGACGGGGGCCCGCACAAGCGGUGGAGCAUGUGGUUUAAUUCGAUGCAACGCGAAGAACCUUACCUACUCUUGACAUCCACGGAACUUGCCAGAGAUGGCUUGGUGCCUUCGGGAACCGUGAGACAGGUGCUGCAUGGCUGUCGUCAGCUCGUGUUGUGAAAUGUUGGGUUAAGUCCCGCAACGAGCGCAACCCUUAUCCUUUGUUGCCAGCACUUCGGGUGGGAACUCAAAGGAGACUGCCGGUGAUAAACCGGAGGAAGGUGGGGAUGACGUCAAGUCAUCAUGGCCCUUACGAGUAGGGCUACACACGUGCUACAAUGGCGUAUACAAAGAGAAGCAAACUCGCGAGAGCCAGCGGACCUCAUAAAGUACGUCGUAGUCCGGAUUGGAGUCUGCAACUCGACUCCAUGAAGUCGGAAUCGCUAGUAAUCGUAGAUCAGAAUGCUACGGUGAAUACGUUCCCGGGCCCUGUACACACCGCCCGUCACACCAUGGGAGUGGGUUGCAAAAGAAGUAGGUAGCUUAACCUUCGGGAGGGCGCUUACCACUUUGUGAUUCAUGACUGGGGUG
rnacentral:rRNA from 1 species